rnacentral:rRNA from 1 species
GAUGAACGCUGGCGGCGUGCCUACUACAUGCAAGUCGAGCGAGCGGCGGACGGGUGAGUAAUGUCUGGGAAACUGCCUGAUGGAGGGGGAUAACUACUGGAAACGGUAGCUAAUACCGCAUACCAUCAGAUGUGCCCAGAUGGGAUUAGCUAGUAGGUGGGGUAAUGGCUCACCUAGGCGACGAUCCCUAGCUGGUCUGAGAGGAUGACCAGCCACACUGGAACUGAGACACGGUCCAGCUGCCGACGGGAGGCAGCAGUGGGGAAUAUUGCACAAUGGGCGCAAGCCUGAUGCAGCCAUGCCGCGUGUGUGAAGAAGGCCUUCGGGUUGUAAAGCACGUUCAGCGAGGAGGCGUUACUCGCAGAAGAAGCACCGGCUAACUCCGUGCCAGCAGCCGCGGUAAUUC